GGAAAAAUAUUGUAUAGCUAUCUUAAGCUUAAUCAUACCAUUUAGUAAUGUCAAUGAAUUAUGGAUAUGCAGUGACUAUUGGAUCAAAUUUCGUUAUUCUGUGGGUAGAACAAAACAAGCAAAACUUUUUUCAGUGAAAAUAGUCUCUUUCAAAAUAAACUUUUUGUGCUACAUAUAUUGUACUUUGCAGUUAUAUGUCCUUUGCUAAAAGCAGGGCCAAUUUGAGAUUGUAAGUAUUAACGAUGUCUAGUUACUUUAUAUAUUUUUUACAUUUGGAAAAUUAAAAUUUUUAAAAAGUUAAAUAGAUACAUUAUAUUUAUGUACAUAUGAUUUUUUUUACAUAUAUAUUAUUAAAUUGGAAUGUAAUUUUAAUAAAUAUGUCUGUAUAUGUCUGUAUAUAUAACCAAUCAUAUAGAAAUAAAUAUGAAAAUAACA
rnacentral:misc_RNA from 1 species